rnacentral:tRNA from 1 species
GAGAGGUAUUAGUAAAAAUUACAUAACUUUGUCAAGGUUAAAUUAUAGGUUAAAACCCUAUAUACCUC